rnacentral:lncRNA from 1 species
CGUGUGGUGAAGGAGCGAAGCCUCUGCCGACAGCCACGUGAGUGAGUCUUCUCCAGCUCCUGCCAGCCUUUGCAGCCCCAGGGCACGACUUCCCCGCAGCCUCCUGGAGAUCCUGAGCCAGAAACCCCAGCUAGCUGCUCCCAGAAUCCUGACCCUCAAAAACCGUGAGAGGUAGCACAUGUGUGUUGCUCGAAGCUACUAAACUUGGGGUGGGGUGGGAGUAGGUAUUUGUUACACAGCAACAGGUGACCGAUACAUGGCCCUAACCUGGUUUACCUUCCUGUAUCUCUGAAUGUAGCCCUUGUGCCAAACCCGCCGAGCCUGUGAUCAAGCACGUACCGCCUCCUGCAACAAUCUGGAAACGUCCAGCCCACCUCCCCGCUGAGCCUGGCAAGACAAGAUUCCAUCUUCUGUCCCAGCCUCGGCCCCAGGCCUGACCCAGGAGGGGGGCGGGGCUUUUCAGAGCUUGAUCCCAAGGUCACCUUGAGCUUUGCCCUUCCCCAGUCCCAACGCUGUUGCCCGAUGG